rnacentral:lncRNA from 1 species
GUCAUACUUUCCUAAACAUUUGACAGUUCAAAUCCCCUUGUAAACUGUUGAACAUAACAUACAGUAUCACAGGAACUAUAGAACUGAUAUCUACUUAAGAGUUACUUCUCUUACUAUUUAAAUGCAUGGUCACUAUUCAUAUUAUCUUGUAGGAAUUAAUUAAAAUAAAUAAAUGAAUGUGAAAGUAAGAUUUAAUGAUGGCUGGAGGGUGCAUAUUUACAUGAGCAUAAAACACUGCAAACAUUAAAUUGUAAAAUGAAAAUUGAAAAAUUGAAAAUAACUAGUUGUGCAGUAAUUUAACAUCAUUAGAUUUUAAAAAAACCCUUUCAAAAAACAAGUGUUUAUGAGAAUUAAAAUUAUUAACUGUAUUCUCAAUUAAAUUUCAGAAUUUUAAAGACAAGUAAAUAUAUUUGAUUUUAAGUUGCAAGGAAUCGUCAGGAAGGGAGAUAACUCACAAAAGGAUAACACAUAUUGUAUGUAUCUGAUUACAUUGAUAAAAAAAACCAAACGUAAUAAUGACCUAUAUUUAAUGAAACAUUAUCAUUUUGAAAAAAAGAAGAAACCUGAAGGAG